UACAGAGGUCUCAAGCGUUGUUCGGAUUCAUUGGGCGUAAAGGGCGCGUAGGCGGCGGGGUAAGUCGGGUGUGAAAUCUCAGAGCUCAACUCUGAAAUGGCACUUGAUACUGCUCUGCUAGAGGACUGGAGAGGAGAUUGGAAUUCACGGUGUAGCAGUGAAAUGCGUAGAUAUCGUGAGGAAGACCGGUGGCGAAGGCGGAUCUCUGGACAGUUCCUGACGCUGAGGCGCGAAGGCUAGGGGGAGCAAACGGG
rnacentral:rRNA from 1 species